GCACAAAGUGGGAGUGACAGGGAGAUUGGCUUCAAAGGUAUUUCUCCAGAUCUGAAUUAAAAUUCAAAGAUAGAUGCACCUAAAUAGUGCUUUAGACUCGAUUGUUGUUUUAUUUCACAUGUUUAACUUCAGUAUAUGUGUUUUUUUAGGUAUAUGAAAAUGGCAAAGACACAGAGGAAGUACUUCUUUAUAUUAAUAAAAAUUAACUCGAAGAUAAUUCUGAGAAUCAGCCCAGAGCUAGGACAGAAAGAGUCUUCCUUAAAUUGUGUUCUGGAUUUGACCUUUGACUGAGUGACUGCAGCUGAAAAGUUGGGAAGCUAGUACAAGACUCCCAGAAAAUUUCUAGUGUACAAACUAACAUAUACUUCAGAGCUUGACCAGCACUGACAUGAGUAGCCAUUUUAUAAAUACAAG